GGGUGAGUAACACGUGGGUAACCUGCCCAUCAGAAGGGGAUAACACUUGGAAACAGGUGCUAAUACCGUAUAACAAUCGAAACCGCAUGGUUUUGAUUUGAAAGGCGCUUUCGGGUGUCGCUGAUGGAUGGACCCGCGGUGCAUUAGCUAGUUGGUGAGGUAACGGCUCACCAAGGCCACGAUGCAUAGCCGACCUGAGAGGGUGAUCGGCCACAUUGGGACUGAGACACGGCCCAAACUCCUACGGGAGGCAGCAGUAGGGAAUCUUCGGCAAUGGACGAAAGUCUGACCGAGCAACGCCGCGUGAGUGAAGAAGGUUUUCGGAUCGUAAAACUCUGUUGUUAGAGAAGAACAAGGAUGAGAGUAACUGUUCAUCCCUUGACGGUAUCUAACCAGAAAGCCACGGCUAACUACGUGCCAGCAGCCGCGGUAAUACGUAGGUGGCAAGCGUUGUCCGGAUUUAUUGGGCGUAAAGCGAGCGCAGGCGGUUUCUUAAGUCUGAUGUGAAAGCCCCCGGCUCAACCGGGGAGGGUCAUUGGAAACUGGGAGACUUGAGUGCAGAAGAGGAGAGUGGAAUUCCAUGUGUAGCGGUGAAAUGCGUAGAUAUAUGGAGGAACACCAGUGGCGAAGGCGGCUCUCUGGUCUGUAACUGACGCUGAGGCUCGAAAGCGUGGGGAGCAAACAGGAUUAGAUACCCUGGUAGUCCACGCCGUAAACGAUGAGUGCUAAGUGUUGGAGGGUUUCCGCCCUUCAGUGCUGCAGCUAACGCAUUAAGCACUCCGCCUGGGGAGUACGACCGCAAGGUUGAAACUCAAAGGAAUUGACGGGGGCCCGCACAAGCGGUGGAGCAUGUGGUUUAAUUCGAAGCAACGCGAAGAACCUUACCAGGUCUUGACAUCCUUUGACCACUCUAGAGAUAGAGCUUCCCCUUCGGGGGCAAAGUGACAGGUGGUGCAUGGUUGUCGUCAGCUCGUGUCGUGAGAUGUUGGGUUAAGUCCCGCAACGAGCGCAACCCUUAUUGUUAGUUGCCAUCAUUCAGUUGGGCACUCUAGCAAGACUGCCGGUGACAAACCGGAGGAAGGUGGGGAUGACGUCAAAUCAUCAUGCCCCUUAUGACCUGGGCUACACACGUGCU
rnacentral:rRNA from 1 species